CUUGCAUACUUUUGUCUCCUGUGUAAAUGGUAUUUAGACAAACAGUGCAUUUGCAAUGAAUUAAAACCCUUACCUUUUACUUCCAGUUUGCAGUCAACUUCUGCCUCUCCAAGUUCGUUGACUGCUCUGCAGGUGUAAGUGCCUCCAUCAUAUGGACUGGGUUUGCGGAUCUCCAAGGUACAGACACCUUGGUUGCCGAACAUUCGGUACCUUGGGUCAUUCAAUAUAGCAACCUUGUUUUUCAGCCAGGUUAUCUUGGGCUUGGGGUUGCCCCGAACACUGCAGUUCAAAGUAGCAUUGUAACCAGCUACAGCAAACGUGUUAACUAGAGGCUGAGUAAACAGUGGUCGUUCAGUGAAGUCAAAGUCAUCGUAAACUGGGUAUUUGUAGACUUUACCAUCUUUUGCAAUCAAGGCACUCUCUUUGGUCAUUGUUGCAUCCUCGCUGAGGCCGCACAUGUUUUCAGCGAAGACUCGGAAGUAGUACUCAUUUCCUAUGACGAGCUCAUUAAUGGUGGCACUGGUGCGGUGGUAGUGCUCGAUUACCGUGAACCAUUCCAUACUCUUCUUAUCUGCUUUUUGAAUAGUGUACCCAGUAAUGGCAGCAUUGCCAUCAUCUUUUGGUGGCUUCCAUGAUAAAUUUACAUUCUCUCCCCAGACAUCCUCAAUAGUUACAACCUCUGGUGGCCCUGGGCGAUCUGUAAUGAAAAUAUGGCAGUCAUCAUUUUUCAUAAUAUUUCUGUUCUCUCUCUUUCCUACACACAUCUUCCACUUUGUCUCUUUUGUCUUUUUUCUAUAUAUAUAUACUCCACUUCAUUUACUUUGUCUCUUUCUUACACAUGCAUAUGCCAAACUCAAUGUCCAAAGAAUGCUGAUGCUGCAAAAUAAAACUUUCAACAGUCAACCCAUGCCAGAAUCAUGAAGAACCUAACCGGGCCACUUUGUGAAUAUGGUUUAUAAGGUACAAAUGCUCUUUAGUUGCAGAUAGGCAUGACAUUUUGAAAACCUGAUAAGUAGUUGAAAAUGUGUUCUUAAAACAGGAAGUAUCAAUCAUUAUUAUGCCUAUUAUGUAAAUGAAUAUGAUGGUAAAAAUUGUAAGUAAAUGUUUUUUCUCAUCUUUCUUUCC
rnacentral:lncRNA from 1 species